ACAAUUUAUAACAACUUGUCUAAUAAAUUAUUUGUUGCUUUCAGUCUGAUUUGCUACAAAUGAAACUAGAUGUUCGCGUUGCUCAAUGAGUUUCUUCAAUAAGGGUCCAGUCCGUUGGGCAAUGGGAUUCUAGGAUUGUCGGUACCUAAAUGGUAUCUUUGACGAGGAAGUGUCGUGAUGAAUGUCCUACUUCAAGUCUGCAUCAAGGUAGGUCCAUUUUUCGCUGCGCCUUAGUUAAUGUGUUGUAAAAUUUAUCAUGAUGUUUACUUCAGUAUAGUUCAUUAGAAACAAACAUGUUACAAAUUUUUGAAGCUGAUAUUUAACUAUGUAUAAAAUUUCGAUUAUGUAGACAAAACGUAUAAUUAGUUUUCGUUGUGUUUUGCAGUUGUCGGAUUCUUUGAUGAUCAAAGAACUUUCAUGGAUAAAUUCAAUGCUUUGAGCUUUGACUGCUUUCCUGUCGACAUGCAGCAAUCGGAUUAAAGUCUUUGAAAGGUCACUUGCUGCUUCCAACUAUUGGUGUUUAUGUCCAGAGAAACUCCACAGAGAUGCGCUUUGACCGGACCACGAUUUUUUACAAUUAAUUUAUAUAGUAAAAAAUUCCGUUGAAUAAAAAGAAUAAAACCAAAUACUUCUUAAA